GUGGUUUACAGAAGUCAAGAUAAACAUUUGUUUACACAUUAUCUGGGUAAGGUGGAAAUCUCAGACCUUAGUUACUUAUUACAAGUCGCAGGAGCCAAGAUGGCAUGGGUUAGGACUCCUUGCCUGUUACAUUAGGGCCACAGAGGGCAGUUACUGAUAAGCAAAAUUUAAGCAGCUUUACAUAGUUUUGAAGAAAAACU